GACGAACGCUGGCGGCGUGCUUAACACAUGCAAGUCGAACGGAAAGGCCCUGCUUUUGUGGGGUGCUCGAGUGGCGAACGGGUGAGUAACACGUGAGUAACCUGCCCUUGACUUUGGGAUAACUUCAGGAAACUGGGGCUAAUACCGGAUAGGAGCUCCUGCUGCAUGGUGGGGGUUGGAAAGUUUCGGCGGUUGGGGAUGGACUCGCGGCUUAUCAGCUUGUUGGUGGGGUAGUGGCUUACCAAGGCUUUGACGGGUAGCCGGCCUGGGAGAGUGACCGGCCACAUUGGGACGGAGAUACGGCCCAGACUCCUACGGGAGGCAGCAGUGGGGAAUAUUGCACAAUGAGCGGCAGCCUGAUGCAGCAACGCCGCGUGCGGGAUGACGGCCUUCGGGUUGUAAACCGCUUUCGCCUGUGACGAAGCGUGAGUGAUGGUAAUGGGGAAAGAAGCACCGGCGAACUACGU
rnacentral:rRNA from 1 species